CACACUUAACCCAUUUCUACACUCAAUUUUCUUCACCUUUCUUGUCAUUUGGUAAAUCAUGAUUUUUGACCAACCUAACACUCUUUCUCCUAAUACAUCUCUCGGCCUUUUCUUUUGCUUCCAAGGGGACAAGAAAAAAAACUCCACUUUGGCUAAAGAGGCUCUCGGCUCUCUCCCUCAAAAGACAAGAAUAAGAACCAAACACAAAAUCUCCACUUUUUUUUACUCCAAAAGAGAGCUCUCGGUCCUCUCUCUUUCUUCAAAAGAAAAACUAGCAGAUUUUCUCCUCAUCUCCCUCAAUCUUCUCUCGGCUCCAUCUCUGGCUCUCUCAAUGUCACAUGCACCUGUCCUCGGAGCAAAGAAAGGUGAAGGAAGGAAAUGAAGACAACAAGCAAUUGGGGUGUGAGGUGCUGGAUUUCCUCCAAAAUUUUGACCGAAGAAGCUCUUGCUUGAGUUGAGCCAUAAAGUAAAUCAGAUUCAAAGAUCAAGUACAAUUGAAAGAGAGAAAGGUUGCUGAAAGCUGUCGGACGCUCGUGAAGACAGGACCGGACGUCCGAUAAUCGUUGCGCAACUUCAAACGCAUGAAGAACUCCACUACCGGACGUCCGAAGGAAUUAAGACAUUCCCUCUAACUCACUGACUUUGAUCGAACGCAAAACAUUAGAGCACCGAACGUCCGAUAAACAAUGCGGCACUUUGGACGCAAAACAUUGGAAGUACCGGACAUCCAAUAGAACUGAAGAAGAUUUCUCAUAUUUAUCAUCUGCUUUCGGAUGCAAGCAUCAGAGACCUCGGACGUCCGAAAGAAUUAAAGAAAUUUUCUCAAAUUCACUGCCUGCUGUCGGCCACAAGAAACAGGAGUACCGGACGUCCGACACUUCCAACGGUUAGUUGACUCUUCAGGUACCUUUUAUCCAUUGGAAGCAUUAAUGGAGGAACUUUUUGGUCUGAUAUAUAUAUAUAUAGUGCAUGGUCAACUACUUUUAGAUAACUUUUACACAUUGAGACUACAAAAGAUCAAGAGUGAUUUUAGUGAGAAAAUACUCUGUAAGAAAGAUUUGUACUCUUAGUUGUGUAAAUUUCGUAUAAGCUUUUCUUGUGUGAGAAAAAUGCUUCAAUAGUAUAGUUUUGUGAAGGUUACUCGAGUGAUUGUAAAAUUUCUUAACUUGACCAAGUGUAACUUGGGGUAAGGAGGAAGUGAUCCUUCUUUUGUACACAAAGAUUGGUUGUAUUUGAUCAACUUGAAGAAACUUACUCUAUAAAGUAAUAUUCAAGCUCAAGAGGAGUUUGGAAUUUGGUUUA